rnacentral:rRNA from 1 species
UUCGCUGGCGGCAUGCUUACACAUGCAAGUCGAACGGCAGCACGGGAGCAAUCCUGGUGGCGAGUGGCGAACGGGUGAGUAAUGCAUCGGAACAUGUCCAGUAGUGGGGGAUAGCCCGGCGAAAGCCGGAUUAAUACCGCAUACGAUCUACGGAUGAAAGCGGGGGAUCUUCGGACCUCGCGCUAUUGGGGUGGCCGAUGGCGGAUUAGCUGGUUGGUGGGGUAAAGGCCUACCAAGGCGACGACCCGUAGCUGGUCUGAGAGGACGACCAGCCACACUGGGACUGAGACACGGCCCAGACUCCUACGGGAGGCAGCAGUGGGGAAUUUUGGACAAUGGGGGAAACCCUGAUCCAGCAAUGCCGCGUGUGUGAAGAAGGCCUUCGGGUUGUAAAGCACUUUUGUCCGGAAAGAAAUCCUCUGGGUUAAUACCCCGGGGGGAUGACGGUACCGGAAGAAUAAGCACCGGCUAACUACGUGCCAGCAGCCGCGGUAAUACGUAGGGUGCGAGCGUUAAUCGGAAUUACUGGGCGUAAAGCGUGCGCAGGCGGUGAUGUAAGACCGAUGUGAAAUCCCCGGGCUUAACCUGGGAACUGCAUUGGUGACUGCAUCGCUAGAGUAUGGCAAAAGGGGGUAGAAAUUCCACGUGUAGCAAUUGAAAUGCGUAAAGAUGUGGGAGGAAUACCCGAUUGGGCGAAAGGCAGCCCCCCUUGGGGCCAAUACUUGACCCU